rnacentral:rRNA from 1 species
UUCCUACGGGGCGCAGCAGUGGGGAAUAUUGCACAAUGGGCGAAAGCCUGAUGCAGCAACGCCGCGUGAAGGAAGAAGGGUUUCGGCUCGUAAACUUCUAUUAACAGGGACGAAAGAAAUGACGGUACCUGAAUAAGAAGCCCCGGCUAACUACGUGCCAGCAGCCGCGGUAAUACGUAGGGGGCAAGCGUUAUCCGGAAUUACUGGGUGUAAAGGGAGCGUAGACGGAAAGGCAAGUCAGAAGUGAAAACCCAAGGCUCAACCAUGGGACUGCUUUUGAAACUGUCAAACUAGAGUACGGGAGG